GCUGGGCAUGGUGGUGCAUGCCUGUAAUCCCAGGGGCUCAGGAGGCUGAGACAGUAGGAUUGCGACUUCAUCAAUGGUGGGGUGCUAAGCAACUCAGUGAGACCCUGUCUCUA
rnacentral:sRNA from 1 species